rnacentral:rRNA from 1 species
GAUGAACGCUGGCGGCGUGCCUAAUACAUGCAAGUCGAGCGAACGGACGAGAAGCUUGCUUCUCUGAUGUUAGCGGCGGACGGGUGAGUAACACGUGGAUAACCUACCUAUAAGACUGGGAUAACUUCGGGAAACCGGAGCUAAUACCGGAUGAUAUUUUGAACCGCAUGGUUCAAAAGUGAAAGACGGUCUUGCUGUCACUUAUAGAUGGAUCCGCGCUGCAUUAGCUAGUUGGUAAGGUAACGGCUUACCAAGGCAACGAUGCAUAGCCGACCUGCGAGGGUGAUCGGCCACACUGGAACUGAGACGCGGUCCAGACUCCUACGGGAGGCAGCAGUAGGGAAUCUUCCGCAAUGGGCGAAAGCCUGACGGAGCAACGCCGCGUGAGUGGUGAAGGUCUUCGGAUCGUAAAACUCUGUUAUUAGGGAAGAACAUAUGUGUAAGUAACUGUGCACAUCUUGACGGUACCUAAUCAGAAAGCCACGGCUAACUACGUG